CGCAGGCUGCGCCAAAGCCUCUUUGCUCCAGGCUAUGGUGUCAGCCAUUUACCUCUGUGAAGCAUAUAAAAAGACACGCGACUCAAGAGGCAACGCACACGCUGAGACAGAAAGCAAGAGCACAACGAAAAAUACAACAACAAACAAAACUCAUAAGACGGCAUUAUGAGUAUUCCCGGGAGAACAAAAAGGCUCCAAGAAGCUGGUGGCAACAGGGAGAACAUCCAGAGUUGGAAGACUGCAAUCCAAUCCAGCUGCUCUUGCCUUGACCUAGAUGUAGGAUUUGGUUUCUUUCCUUUUUUUUUUCCUUCUUGGUUUUCAACAUGGAAAGUGCUUUCCUAAGACCUACCAGCACACAAAGAAGGAUUCUCUGAAGGAUCCAUGGAAUAGAGGAAGAGUUGGAGACAGGAAGCAAUGGCAGGCUUAACCAGAAAUGCACAUCAAGCUGGAGACGGAAGACUAAGACCAG
rnacentral:lncRNA from 1 species